GACGAACGCUGGCGGCGUGCUUAACACAUGCAAGUCGAGCGGUAAGGCCCCUUCGGGGUACGACGAGCGGCGAACGGGUGAGUAACACGUGGGUGACCUGCCCUCCAGCUCUGGGAGUAAGCCUGGGAAACGUGGGUCUAAUACCGGAUAUGACUCCAUGACGCAUGUCGUGGGGUGGAAAGCCUUGUGCGGCUGGGGAGUGGCCCGCGGCCUAUCAGCUUGUUGGUGGGGUGAUGGCCUACCAAGGCGACGACGGGUAGCCGGCCUGAGAGGGCGACCGGCCACACUGGGACUGAGACACGGCCCAGACUCCUACGGGAGGCAGCAGUGGGGAAUCUUGCGCAAUGGGCGAAAGCCUGACGCAGCGACGCCGCGUGAGGGAUGACGGCCU
rnacentral:rRNA from 1 species